AUUGAACGCUGGCGGCAGGCCUAACACAUGCAAGUCGAACGAGUGGCGGACGGGUGAGUACUGUCUGGGAAACUGCCUGACGGAGGGGGAUAACUACUGGAAACGGUAGCUACUACCGCCUACCACCCUAUGGGCCGAGACUGGAUUAGCUUGUUGGUGGGGAAACGGCUCACCAAGGCGACGAUCCCUAGCUGGGCUGAGAGGAUGACCAGCCACACUGGAACGGAGACACGGUCCAGACUCCUACGGGAGGCAGCAGUGGGGAAUAGUGCACAAUGGGCGAAAGCCUGAUGCAGCCAUGCCGCGUGUAUGAAGAAGGCCUUCGGAUUGUAAAGUACUUUUGGCAGGGAGGCGUUACCCGCAGAAGAAGCACCGGCUAACUACGUGCCAGCAGCCGCGGUAAUUC
rnacentral:rRNA from 1 species